AGAGAAGUAACCAAGGAGUCUAUGUUGACAAGCGCCAACAAAAGAGCCAUCAUAUGAGCGAAGCACUCCACCAACUCCAAUGAAGCCAUCAGGGAAGACUGCUGCAUCUACAUUAGCUUUCAAGAAUCCUUGAAGCGGUGGAACCCAGAAAUGUAACGGUGGAGGAGCUGGCACAGCAUCAGAAGAACUGUCAUCAACGUGUCGCGCAUUACACCAAUCGUAGAGGAUUGUCCUAGCCCGAUACACCACAGCAGCAGGGCUCGACCACUUCGAAGACCAGACCACAUCAUUCCGUGCCUGCCAAAGAGCCCAGCAGAUCAUUACCACCAUAGCUUGGUCUUCCUUUCUCACCAGCUGCAAAACUGAGCACAACCAUGCCAAAAAUGACGCCGACUGAGGAAAAAGCCAUCCAAUCGAAGACGCAAGCCAUACCCUCUUGGCAAAAGGGCAUGUAACCAGCACAUGGAGCACAGAUUCACUAAC
rnacentral:lncRNA from 1 species